CCCUCCUGGGCUGUGGAAGUUCUUAUCUCUCUGACAGGCUGAACUUUGAAGAAAAGUGGGUGCAGCCUAAAAGAUGAGAGUGUUGAUACUUCUGUACCUGUUGACAGUGCUUCCUGGUAUCCUGUCUGAUGUGCAGCUUCAGGAGUCAGGACCUAGCCUGGUGAAACCUUCUCAGUCACUGUCCCUCACCUGCUCUGUCACUGGCUACUCCAUCACCAGUGGUUAUGACUGGAGCUGGAUCCGGCAGAUUCCAGGAAAUAAACUAGAGUGGAUGGGGUACAUAAGCUACAGUGGUAGCACUAACUACAACCCAUCUCUCAAAAGUCGAAUCUCCAUCACUAGAGACACGUCCAAGAACCAUUUCUUCCUGCAGUUGAACUCUGUGACUACUGAGGACACAGCCACAUAUUACUGUGCAAGAGACACAGUGUCCAUUCUUCAGUGUAAGCCCAGACAUAAACCUACUUGUAGAGCAGCUCAGUAUAAACAGGCAGCUUGCCACAUACACUUAGCACAGGAAAUCUAUUUUAGGGUAAGUUAAAAAACAAUUCUUGCC